GGCAUCAGGAGUCGAUGAAGGAAGUGGGAGACUGCUUUAAGCUUCGGGGAGCUGUCAACCAAGCUUUGAUCCGAAGAUUUCCGAAUGGGGCAACCUACCUAAGCAAACCUUAGGUGUUCUUAUCUGAAUUUAUAAGGUAAGAAAGGCAACGGCGUGAACUGAAACAUCUAAGUAGCGCCAGGAAAAGAAACAACGUGAUUCCCUAAGUAGUGGUGAGCGAACCGGGAACAGCCGAAAACUUGUGUUGUGUAAGAGGCCACUCGUUGCAAUACAAGGGAAGCGGGAGCAAGUGUCUAACAGGUGGUUCUAUUAGGUUAUGUAGCUAACUAAGCUGAAUUGUUUUGGAGAAACAACCAUAGAAAGCGACAGUCUUGUAAGCAAAUAGUUAGAAGUACGUAAUAACUUGUUUCCCAAGUACCACAGAGCACGUG
rnacentral:rRNA from 1 species